rnacentral:rRNA from 1 species
AAUCAACGCUGGCGGCGUGCCUAACACAUGCAAGUCGAACGCGAAAGGGGCUUCGGCCCUGAGUAGAGUGGCGUCCGGGUGAGUAACGCGUGGGUAAUCUACCUUCGGGUGGGGAAUAACCAGUCGAAAGGCCGGCUAAUACCGCAUAAUGCAGCGGCACGACAUCGUGACAGUUGUUAAAGGAGCAAUCCGCCUGAAGAGGAGCCUGCGUCUGAUUAGCUUGUUGGGAGGUAACGGCUCACCAAGGCUUCGAUCAGUAGCUGGUCUGAGAGGACGGCCAGCCACAAUGGCACUGAAACACGGGCCAUACUCCUACGGGAGGCAGCAGUGGGGAAUUUUGGGCAAUGGGCGAAAGCCUGACCCAGCAACGCCGCGUGAAGGAUGAAGUAUUUCGGUAUGUAAACUUCGAAAGAAUAGGAAGAAUAAAUGACGGUACUAUUUAUAAGGUCCGGCUAACUACGUGCCAGCAGCCGCCGC